rnacentral:rRNA from 1 species
UACGUAGGUGGCAAGCGUUAUCCGGAAUUAUUGGGCGUAAAGGGAGCGUAGGCGGUUUAUUAAGUUUAUGGUGAAAGUUCGGGGCUUAACCCCGUGAUGCCAUAGAAACUGGUAGACUUGAGUACAGGAGAGGUGAGUGGAAUUCCAUGUGUAGCGGUAAAAUGCGUAGAUAUAUGGAGGAACACCAGUGGCGAAGGCGGCUCACUGGCCUGUAACUGACGCUGAGGCUCGAAAGCGUGGGGAGCAAAUAGGAUUAGAUACCCUAGUAGUCCACGCCGUAAACGAUGAAUACUAAGUGUUGGGUAGAAAACUCAGUGCUGCAGCUAACGCAAUAAGUAUUCCGCCUGGGGAGUAUGCGCGCAAGCGUAAA